rnacentral:rRNA from 1 species
UACGGAGGGUGCGAGCGUUGUCCGGAAUCACUGGGCGUAAAGGGCGCGUAGGUGGCUUCUCAAGCGCGCGGUGAAAGCCCGGGGCUCAACCCCGGGUCGGCCGUGCGGACUGGGAGGCUCGAGUCCGGAAGAGGAGUGUGGAAUUCCUGGUGUAGCGGUGAAAUGCGCAGAUAUCAGGAGGAACACCAAUGGCGAAGGCAGCACUCUGGGACGUGACUGACGCUGAGACGCGAAAGCGUGGGGAGCAAACAGG